GAUAUAUGAGAAGGCUGUAAAGAUUCUUGAAACAUAUUGGAUAGAGGAGGAAGAUGAGAACAUGGCGGCUGAUGUUGGUGAAGCUGUUUAUCAGUUUGGAGAGGGAGAAGUCCCAGUUCCUUCCGGAGGAUUCCACUUUGGCUGAAGGGGUGUUCUGCCAUGGGGGAGCUGUUGGGUGAUAUGCUCCCAGCUUGUGAUGGUGAUGUGUUGGGGUCAGUCGGGGAGUCGGCAAUGCCAGUCCAGGUCCUGUCAGUCCAGUCUCGAGUGUUGGUCUGUCCAGUCUCAGGUGUUGGUCGAGUGGAUGGUCGUGGUGGUUUCAAUAAUGUGGGCAUCAUUGAAGACAUAUUUUGGGUCUUGAGGUUAAAAUUUUCUGGGCCCUGUUCCUUCCUAUAGGGGUUAUUUUCUUUGUAGGAUGGUGGGGGUACAGUUGGCCGGUCUAUGAGUUGAUUCUUGCCAGAGAUAUGUUGUUUACAGGUCGUUUUAAGUAUAUGCUUAUAACAAGUUUUUUUGGCCUUUUGUUGAGCAUGAAUUUUUAUGUUGAGAGGUUUAUCG
rnacentral:misc_RNA from 1 species